rnacentral:rRNA from 1 species
UACGUAGGGGGCGAGCGUUACCCGGAUUUACUGGGCGUAAAGAGCGUGUAGGCGGCUGGCCAAGCGUGAUGUGAAAUCUUCGGGCUUAACCCGAAAACUGCAUUGCGAACUGGUCUGGCUAGAGUGUGUGAGAGGGUAGUGGAAUUCCCGGUGUAGCGGUGAAAUGUGUAGAUAUCGGGAGGAACACCAGUGGCGAAGGCGGCUACCUGGCACAUAACUGACGCUGAUACGCGAAAGCGUGGGGAGCGAACCGG